GAUGAAGAACGCAGCGAAAUGCGAUAAGUAAUGUGAAUUGCAGAAUUCAGUGAAUCAUCGAAUUUUUGAACGCACAUUGCGCCCCUUGGUAUUCCGAGGGGCAUGCCUGUUCGAGCGUCAUUAUAACCCCUCAAGCUUAGCUUGGUGUUGGGGCCUGCUGUAAUAGAGCAGCCCUUAAAAUCAGUGGCGGUGCCAUUAGGCUCUAAGCGUAGUAAUUCUUCUCGCUAUAGGGUUCUGGUGGAUGCUUGCCAUUAACCUCUAAUUUUCUAUGGUUGACCUCGGAUCAGGUAGGGAUACCCGCUGAACUUAAGCAUAUCAAAAGCGGAGGA
rnacentral:misc_RNA from 1 species